UGAAGGACUUGUGGAACAGCGGAGUAGAAUAGGAUGCGCCUUCAGGCUGGUGCCUCGGGGGCACCUGUCAGGUCACGGUCAGGGUGAAGAAAACUCAGGAGUCACUGUCACGUGUCUUCGCUGAAAAGCAACAUGGCGUCUUUCAGAUUCAAACGAAGUCAGUGGCGGUGAAUGUGAGACUUUCUGGGAGAAGUAGACAGAAUGUUAACGUUUGUGUUGAAGUCAAACACAAGAUACAUGGUCUGGUUUAAAGGGACGAAAACAGCAGCGAAGAAAAAGUCCGAACUCCAGCCUCAAAUGGGAGAAGUUAGCAGUCUUCGAUGGCGGUGAUGCUAUGGAGGCUAAUUUUGUGCUGAGUGCAUCAUCAUCAACUCUCCCAUCAGACGUCAGCUCGUCGCCAAAGAGAAGCGGUUCCAGCCAUCCCAUUAGAGGAGAGGUAACGGUGCCCUGACUGUGCACCAGAGAGAGGAUGGAGAGGAGGGGGGCACAGCGAGUGCAGAGGCUGGACUGGGCCGCUGGACACGAGCCAAUGCGGGCACAAAGACCUCUGUCACAUCCUCCGAGUUUUAUGGCAGGAGUAUAAUAUUCAUCUUGUAUGCAAUUGGAAUCAAGGGCUCCUACUGGAUCCCAUCAGAAGGGGAUUAAAGAGGAAAAGGGCAACUAGGAUCACUUGGAGAGCAGACCCCUUCCACUUGAGCCAACACUCAAGCAGGGAUGAAGUGCAGGCGCAGAGACGACCCAGAGGGAGAGCGCGCAGAGGGAAGGGAGAGACGGGGAGGUGGCAUAGUUUGGAUUCCCAAUAUGUGUCCGGGGAAUCCGAAGUGAGGCCAGAUGGCACAGGCCUGUCGGUCUUUGGGAAUCACAGCAUACGGUGGCGGCACGCAUGGCAGAAGGUAGCGGGAAACAGUACCGGGGUCAGCUCUUGAUGUUGGACGCUCCCCGGAGCGGUUCCUUCCAUCCCUUUGAACAAGAGAGCAUCUCCACACUACUGCGCCGCGUCCCUGCUUAAUGCGGCAGUUGACUUCAAACGCCACGCAAUUCCCUCCUGCCCAAAGCCUCCUGAGUUCUAAACAUAUGUUUUCAGACCUGAUGAAAACACAGUGCCAAUAACAUGCCACUGAGCGCCACGCAUGGACAUAUGUGUUCUGUUUUCUCCAAACUUUCAUCUCGUACAAUUUAAUUUGACUCACUGCUGAAGCUGACAUGUGGGAGCUACGUCACGAAGCUACGGAGAAGCGGCGGAGUCGCUUCUCAACGCCUGUCAUGCCAGCGUGCUUUGCUAUAGCGAAGCGCGAUAUGAUGGCAGCCAAUUAUAUCUGUCAGCUUUCUGAGACAGAUGUCCAAUAUAACCUGGUUAGUGCUAAUAGGCAGAUUUUUAAACAAGAGUAAUUAUUCAUCGCUCACAGACCAGUAAAAGAGACGGAUGCUAAUAUCUGAUGCUGAAUGUGUGUGACAGGUGUUACCACCAAUUUCCCCCAGUCUCCUGUGGCAGCGCUCGCUAUGAAAACAUCUUAAAACACAUGUGUGCACUCACAUUGUAGUGAUCUCACACAUUUUUAACACAUACUCUUUGACUUUGGGAAAGAAGCAGUUCUGCAUGUGCAUACUGAUUAUCCUCCUCUAUUUCUGACAAAAUAACAGUUUUUUAGAAGCCAAGUGUGGUGUUAUGCUUGUCGUUGCAUCCCCAUAUCCGUGUAUAGACUAAGAUCCCCUCAUUAUUCUCAUUAAUUGUCCAUCUGUCAUCUUGGCAGAAACCCACUGGUAUAGAGUUAGCUAU